rnacentral:lncRNA from 8 species
AAACGAUAUCUCAGUGAAUAAUGCCUUAUCUGGCAAUUGAACCCCUCUACCCUUUUCUCUCUCCUCCUAUCCAUCUGUUAUUAUUCUCAGACAUUCACCCUCAGGUUGAAUUUGAGUCCCAUACUUCUCCCUAGUCUUUUCCCUUCCUCCCUCUCCUCCUUUCUUCCUUCCUCCUCCCUCUGGCUGGCUGCCACUCCUCCCAGCGGAUCUGUGCCUGUGGUAGUGGUGUAUGUUGUCGGUUGAGGCCGGCCCCCUCUCUCUCCUCAGAUGGAGGAGUGAAGCUCACUGACACACAUACAGACGCAACAAGCCACAGGCAGGCACGCUACCAGACAGACCGGCAGACAGUUGCUGAACUUGUGGAAUUACAUCUAUGAGCCAGGGGAGGACUAAAGCCAGCAUGGUAUUCAGCUGGCAGAAGUCCUUUGCCAUCCUGAACCCCUGGAGGAAAGGGAAGGGGGACAAUGUGCUGGAUAAUGAGGUUGUCUUGACCAAGAUGAAGCUCUUCAACAACUUCCAUGAGAAGCUCCUCAACAACGCUGAUGAUUCUUCAUCCACUAUCUCCAUGUCAGUAUCUGAGCAGGACGUCUCAGAGCCUGUCAAAGGCUUGAAGGGGAAUGCUGACCUGGAUAACAUGCCUGGACAGCCCCUGAUGGAGUCAAACUCAGGCUACCUCUCUGACAUUUUCUCAGACUCUCAGCUUCCCAUGCUGUACAAGUUUGAGUCGGAGGACUCUGGAGUGGAACUGCCCAGUGGAACCAACUCUCCCUCCACACCCACCGGCUCAGAGCAGAGCUUUGUGGUCCACAGCCGGGAACCCUCCUAUGACUCCUGUAACCUCAAUACUCCUGUCCCUACCCCAGGUCCACUACUCACCAUUGAACAGUGCUCUGACACCAAACCAACAGAGGAUAUGAGAGACUCACCAUGUACGACUGUAGACAGUGCUGUGCUGGAGUGUACUACUGUGGAGUCGGGGGCUGAACUCAACACAGAAAUUGAGAGGGUAGACUUUCAUAUAACUGAAAAGGACAUAAAUAUGGAGAGGGCCCAACACAGGGCCUUGAAGGACACUGCUGAGGACAGUGACAGGGUUUCAGAGGAGCUGGGUGAGAACAGGGCUGUGACUGACGGGAUCAACUCUGAGAAAACGAGGUCCAAGAGCCAGUGCUCUACAUGGGCCUGUGAUGAUAUGACAGGAGUUAACUUUGAGCAGCGGCCUCUGAGGAAAAGCACGACGAGCGACAGCCUGGAGGAGUAUAUGGAGGAAUGCUGUAGACUGAGUGAGGUCCACCAGGCCAGCUCCAACCCACUGGGCUCUGGACUGGGCUACCUGGAGCACAUCUGCCAGCUCAUCGAGAAGAUUGGUCAGCUCCAGGAACACAACCUCAGGCUGCAGAAGCAGAUCUGUGGGCUGCAGAAGGAUGGAAGGUUGACCAAGACCAAAGAGGACUUCUUCCUGCAGCACUGUAGCUGUGGAAUGGCCGGCAUGGCCUUCCAUGAACAGAAAAGACACUCUAGGAGUGAGUUCCUGACCACCUCCAUGAGCGACACCCUCUCUGACCUCUCCACCAUCCCUGAGGUCACACACCACACAGGACUCACAGCCAGGGGAGAGAGUGACCAGGGUGGAUGCCAGCCCCUGGUGCCCCUUUGGAAGAGGGGCCUGAAUCGGAUGAGCUACACAGAGGGAGAUACGCGCUCCUAUCUCUCUGACAGUACAGAGGGUCUCUCUACCCCACACAGACGGCUGAGUGAGAACUACACGUGGGGCAGAGUGAAGGAUCUGGUGAAGAAGACCAAGCUGAGGAACCAGAGCAGACUGGGACAAACAUCCACCUCCCUGAAGAGAUCCUGUCCACAGCUUUACCGCCCUGACCUGGGACCAGUGGACCUACCAGGAAGAAACAGGAACUCCAUGAUCGCCUUGGGCCAUCAGAACAAACUGGACUUCCAGUGGCCCCGAUAACCAUUAUAUGAAACAGAUGGCCCGAAGUGGGAAGAGAAUACCCGGAAGAGGAUAAAGUGAAGUUGCACAGAUUCUUGACUGGACAGAGAGAGUAGUGUGAAAGGAGGGAUGUGAGAAAUAACACUUGUGAUGGAUGACAAAACUUUGAGUGAGGAGUGAAAAGAAAACAAAAAGAGGAUGAGAUACAAUUCAAACUAAGGGAUUUUAUUGUUUCAGAUAAGGGAACAUUGGUAUUUUUAUGAGAAUAGACAUGCAUGUACUCCACAAUGUACAUGAAUACGAUACAAAUUAUUUAAUCUUGUACUAUAAUCGUUUUCUAUUCAAUUCAUAUUGUAAUGCUUUCUCUAAAUAUAUGUUAUGUUAUUGACAUUUCAGUACUAUGUGUUGGAGAAAACAAUAACUCUUUGAUAUGGUUGUUCCAACUAAGAAAUAGCCUAGACAAUAUUCUGGGGUGAAAGUAAAGGGAUAGUUCACACAAUUUACAAAAUGACAUUGGUUUCCUUACACUGUAAGCAGUCUAUGGACAAGCUAUGACAGCAAUGCAUCCUUUGGUUUAGUUUCCCUGCCACUGUUUCAACAUGCUAGCAUUUUAGCAUUUGUGGCACAAAUCCCAUUCAAGUCAUGGGACCGAAUGUAUUCGCACAUCAUGCCCAAAUCAAUACAUGAUUUAAAUUCUAGAUAAGAGCGUCUGCUAAAUGACUAAAAUGAAAAUGUAACAAUAAUUUGAAAGUAUCUAAAGUUGCUUGUCAAACUCAACAAAGUCACAUAGAUGAUUUGAACAUGAUGCUUGAAAAAUACUAAUAUCGGUCCCAUGACAGGGUAAGGAAACCAAUAUGUCAUUUUGUGUUUGGGUGAACUAUCGCUUUGGCUAUCAUGCCCCCUUGAACAAAUGUGAAACAUACACAUAUCAUACAUAUUUCAGGAUUGUACUUAACUAUUCAACAUAUUUUGUAUGAAUUCUCUUCUUGUUUUGAGUGUAGGCCUACGAGGCUGUGUGUGCAUGCACUAUACAGGGAUAACAGAUCGUGGUGAUGUUGUGUGAAUGUGCUGUAUAUAACAAAAGUUAAUUGUGUACAGCCAUUGUUUAUGUACAGGAGGGGAGUUAUGCCUCUGUAAAUUCCUAUGUUUAUAUGAUGGAAAUGUAUACUUUUUGGAGAUCGGGGUUCCAGAUCCCUUAUGAUAAAAAACACUUUGAGGACGCUAGAAAACGUUUGUGAUGCAUUGCCCCAAGGUUUUUUAAUGUUCCUCUCAAACAUUUAUGUAAAAAAAAAAAUAGUAAAGAAAAAAACAAUAAUUUCAUAUCACUGCAACAUGUAUUUAUCAGAGGCUGCUGUUGCAUAUGUUCAUCUUCAAGACAUAUUUUUUUUUAUUGUGACACGCAAGUCUGGUUAACAAGCUAACGGUGAUUUAGCUUUUCUACACCACGGUUAAAUUCCCUGGUUUUCCAGAAAUCCUGGUUGGAGUAUUCCCAGUAUUUCCUGCUUUUCCCUCGUUAAUUCCAUGAAUCUUCCAAACAGGCUUCCUUGAAAAAUUGGGAAUUUGGGGAAAGCUUCUGGAAUUUUGCAACCUUUGUUACAUCACUAUGAGCUUCCUUUGAUAACAGACAGGCAAGUGCCAUGGUACCUUGGAAAUCUCACUGGGUAACUACAGAAGGAAAGUUCAACACAGAAACUUUGAAAAGGAUUAUUAAAAUGGCUUCAAAGCCUUGACAUCUAAUUGAAAUACAGCAGAAGUAAAUUCCAAAUGCUCAAAACUGUUCAGCGUUGUUUAAAACAGGAAUGGAGGUCAUCAGUUUUUAGAAAACACUAAUCCCACAGAAAGAACAAAACAGUUGGUUAUCCAGUAUGUACUUCAGCAAUGUGAACAACAGUAUUGUACAACACCAAUGAGUUAUUCAUCAUGGUCAACAUGUACUCCUAUUAAAAUAAUAAUGCUGUACAUGUAGCACAGCUGUAGCUGUAUCAUACGGAAUUCAUGUACUUCUAAAUACUCUAAUCAAGUAGAAAAUAAAUCUGUUGCAACUUAAGAGGCAGUAAAUGCUGUCAAUAUGCAUGAUAGGCCUACAUGUUUUGUCAGGACUGGGAUCUAAAGACUAAAGAUUGUGAUAUCUGUAUAUUGUAGAGUUACAGUAAGUUGUACAUGGAUGGAAUAUCGCAAUAUGCAUAAUGUAUCAUUAUUCAAAGUUAUUUUUCAAAAUAAAGUUGACAUUUCCAGUGACAUGAAAUGCUGUGUUUUCAGUAAUUUUAUACCACUCACCUUGUCCUGCAGGAUAUAAAGCAAAUCAUGUUUCUCAUGGAAAGAAAGAUGUAAAGAUCACUCAUUCACUAGAAACUAG